AUGACUACACAAAAAAUGGUACUGUCCAAUAAUAGAUUGAUAUGUAUGGUGCAAAAGUUUCCAAGAAAUGCUGAAUACAUGGACUUAGCAGGAAACUCUUUCUCCGGGACAUUGCCAUUAGAUUUUGGAGCCCCUUUAUUGGAGGAGCUUAUUCUUUAUAACAAUUCAAUAUCAGGCACCAUUCCAUCUUCAAUAUGCAAAUUGUCACAGUUGGUUGUGCUAGACCUAUCAAAAAACAAGCUUACAGGAGAAGUUCCAACUUGUGAAGAGGAUUCUAACUCGCAGAUGAGUAGUCUUCAUGUGGUAAAUUUAAAUACCAGCAACCUCUCAGGACAGUUCCCAAAAGUUCUUAGAAACUGCCAACACCUUGUUUUUAUUGAUCUAUCUUAUAACAAAUUCUCUGGAGACAUACCUACAUGGAUGGCUGUGAAUUUUCCGUACUUGGCACUCCUACGUCCACGGUACAAUAUGUUUUCUAGGGAAAUUCCCAUGGAAUUGGAAUGCUUCAAGGGCUGCAGUUUUACAUCUUGCACACAACAACUUCUCACGAAGCAUGCCAGACUCAUUAGUUAA
rnacentral:rRNA from 1 species